AACGAGCGCUGGCGGCAGGUCUUAGGCAUGCAAGUCGAACGGGUGUAGUAAUACACCAGUGGCGAACGAGUGAGUAACGCGUGGGAAUCUGCCCAUCUCUGGGGAAUAACGUUUGGAAACGAACGCUAAUACCGCAUACGCCCGCAAGGGGAAGGAUUUAUCGGAGAAUGGAUGAGCCCGCGUUGGAUUAGUUAGUUGGUGGGGUAACGGCCUACCAAGGCGAUGAUCCAUAGCUGGUCUGAGAGGUCGAUCAGCCACGUUGGAACUGAGAUACAGUCCAGACUCGAACGGGAGGCAGCAGCUAUGAAUAUUGGGCAAUGGAGGAGACUCUGACCCAGCCGUGCCGCGUGAGUGAAGGAGGCCUUCGGGUUGGAAAGUUCUUUUAGUCGUGACGAUGAUGACGGUAGCGACAGAAAAAGCACCGGCUAACUUCGUGCCAGCCGCCGCGGUAA
rnacentral:rRNA from 1 species